AGCUCCAAUAGCGUAUAUUAAAGUUGUUGCAGUUAAAAAGCUCGUAGUUGGAUUUCUGGGAGGGUGACAAUGUCCGUCGCAGUACGAGUGCAGCGGCGCCCUUCCAUCCUUCUGUUAACGCCUCUCCGCAUUCAUUUGCUGGUGGCGGGCUCAGAUAUUUUACCUUGAGAAAAUUAGAGUGUUUCAGGCAGGCAUCGCACGGAAUACAUUAGCAUGGAAUAAUGGAAUAGGACUUCGGUCUCUUUGUUGGUUUGAGGGACAGCAGUAAUGAUUAAUAGGGAUAGUUGGGGGCAUUAGUAUUCAAUUGUCAGAGGUGGAAUUCUCAGAUUUGUUGAAGACUAACUUAUGCGAAAGCAUUUGCCAAGGAUGUUUUCA
rnacentral:rRNA from 1 species